rnacentral:rRNA from 1 species
AACGGCCGCGGUAUCCUAACCGUGCGAAGGUAGCGUAAUCACUUGUUCUUUAAAUGCGGACUAGUAUGAAUGGCACUACGAGGGUUAUACUGUCUCCUUUUUCUAAUCAGUGAAACUAAUUUUCCCGUGAAGAAGCGGGGAUAUAACUAUAAGACGAGAAGACCCUAUGGAGCUUUAAACAAUCCAGCAAUUACUUCUAAAAUUAUAAAUUUCAGAAUAUCCAUUUCUUAAGUAAUGUGUCUGCAAGUUUUUGGUUGGGGUGACCAUGGAGAAUAACAUAACCUCCAUAUUGAAUGAAUUCCCUUCUAAGCUAAAAAUUACCAAUUGAAGCAUCAACAUACUGACAUCUAUUGACCCAAUAUAUUUGAUCAACGAACCAAGUUACCCUAGGGAUAACAGCGCAAUCCACUUCAAGAGCCCCUAUCGACAAGUGGGUUUACGACCUCGAUGUUGGAUCAGGGUAUCCCAGUGGCGCAGCCGCUACUAAAGGUUCGUUUGUUCAACGAUUAAAACCCU